ensembl:processed_transcript A430018G15Rik RIKEN cDNA A430018G15 gene
CUCUGUGGCGCGGAGGGUCAGUGGAGGAAGGCUGAGGCGCUUUCGGCGCGCCAAUGUCAGGGAUUUGAGGUUGUUUCUGAGUCCCAAUGCAAAUAUGUAACCAAACUCACCUCCAAAAGUCCCAGGUUUGGACCCCGACGAUGGAUGGCUUCUUGUUAAACUCACGCCAUGAGAAGCCGUGGAUCAAUUUCAAGAAAACCUUGCUGAUGUUGAAGAAAUGAGAACAUGCUGGGAGCAUUUGAAAACAGUGUGAACUCUAAAGGGCAGGCGUGUCUGAACACUUCCAACCCCGCACACGGCUGGCAGAAUGGACACUCUCACCAGGACUUUCCCCUCCAAACACAGACUGUUUUCUCUAGAAAAGAGCCUCAAAGCCUAUGUCGGGAGUCAUGGCUGCACCCCCCAGGUGAUCCUCGGUUCCUAUGGGGUUUGUAAGUGUCCUGGUACGAGUCCGGGUAAUCUUCUUCCACCAGAGGGUAGUGAUCUCGGCUAUGCUGGGAGCUGGAAGACAAGCGGUUCCUACUCUUGCGGGCCCUCUCAUUGUGGUAAUUUUCAUCCGAGGUCAUUAGGCUUCGUCUUUCAAUUGGAGAAUUCUCUGUAGAAUGGUUGCUGUGUCUCAUUCGCUGACUCUAAGAAUAUCAGACAGUUCACUGGUUAGAUAAGGUCAGCUUCAUUUAGCUAAACAUGCUAACGCGUGUGUGUGCAGUAACAGGGUCUAUACAACGAGCUGCUGUCUGACCUAAUAAAGCAUUUUGAUUC